rnacentral:lncRNA from 1 species
AAAAUUCUAGGUGUAAUAAGGAAAAAGUUAAAAAUUUUCUUACUCAAACAUUCAUUAGAGCUUAGGUUUUCUAGCUUUCAUGAGAAAGGCUAAUAGAAUGAUUGAAGAAGAGAAAGGAUCAUGGGCUAUCAGGUUAGUAAAGAGGAUGCGACCAAAAUAAGAUAAAGAUGAUUACCUUGAGAUCUAGGAUUCAGUCCCACUAGAUCUUAUUCGAAAUUUUUUAAUUAAUAUAAUUAUAAAGUUGCAAUAGCUUUAAUUGAUUCUAAUUUGGUUUAAUAAAAAUGAUAUUUUUGAUCUAACUGAUCCCUUAAUAUCACUUAUAAUACUUUUAGUAUAACACUAAUCUUUGAUUUAUAUUUUUAUUUAAUUUUGUGUUAUUUCAUUCAUGCUUAAGUAGCUUAUUAUCCUUCGUGUAUAUAAUUUUUAAAACUUAAACUUCUUUACUUUAAUGAUGGUCAAACUCAUUAAAGCAAUGAAAUUUACUUAACAUCGAUUAAAAUUCAACCGUCACUUCUAGUAACUAUAUACAAAAUUAUUAUCAUAUCUUAACCUUAUAUUCAAGUUUAUUAACACAUUUUAUCUUAUUGCGUUGAAGGACCAUGCUUUCUUGCUAUAAAAUAUGCUUAAAGUAGGUAUUGAUGUUUUUGCAUAUUUAACUAAAAUUUCAUUGAACAUUGUGAAUAGCAUAUUUUGGAAAGCAUGCACUUCAAUUUUAAAAAUAAAAAACAUAAGCAUAUCAUUUAUCGUAUUAAUGAAACAUAGAUAUCACAAAUCAUAUUACUAGAGUAAUAUAUACAUAUUAUUUGUACUUCUAUUGAGAUAGUAGUUGUAAUUUAAUAAUUGUGAGACUCAAGCACUAUAAUCCUCCCCUCAUAAUAAAAAUUUUAUCCUCAAAUUUUCUUAUUAUGAUAGCUCUCGAUAUUUCUCUUACAUCUCUUCCUUAAGUUACUUCCUCCAUUGCAUGAUAUACUUCGACUAAAGCAAUCUUCUUAUUAUAAAAUUUUUUCUCCUUUCCAUCAAGAAUUUAUAUAGUCUAUUUCUCGUAUAUCAAAUUUUCAUCCAAUUCUAUUAGUUGUUCUUUCAUGAUAUAAGAAUGAUUUGAAAUAUACUUCAUCAAUAUUGAUAUAUAGCAUUAUGCACAUUUACUAAAAUAGGAGGUAAGGUUAGUCCGUAAGCCACAUCACCAAUUUUAUCAAAAAUUUCAUAUGAUUCCAUAUGCCAAGGAUUUAGCUUGUCUUUCUUUCCAAACCUUAUAACUCUUUUCAUUAGUGCUACAUUUAAGAAUAUUUUAUCGUAUCUCAAAUUUCAAAUAUCUCUUGUUAUUAGCAUAUACUUCUACUUGUUUUAUGUUACCUUUAUUCUUUGGCAAAUCUUUUCUACUGCUUUAAUUGUUUCUACUGUAAGCCACAUCACUACUUUAAGACAUAUAAUGUUUCAAAUGAUGUCAUCUCAUUGCUUAAUAACUGUUAUUGUAUGCAAACUCUAUCAAAGAUAAAUAUUUGCUCUAUGAUAUCUUAAGGUCUAUGACAUAAGCUAUUAUCAUUUUGAUUGGUCAUCUGUUUAAGAAAAAAAAGCAGUAUGAGAGUUUAACUUUAUCUCUAAUGCCUAAUGAAAAAUUUUUAAAAUCCUCAUAUGAAUCUAGAGUCUCUAUCUAAUACAAUGGACAUGAACAUUUAAUAAAAUCUAAUUAUCUCUUGGAUAUAUAAUUGAGUAUAUUGAUUCAUGGAAUAGUUAGCACAAAAUAAGUAAAAAGUGGGCUAUCUUAAUCAUUAUAUCCAUAAUGACCUAAAUUUCAUCAUAUUCCUUGUUGGUCAUAGACAAACCCAUGACAAAAUUUAUGUUAAUCUUUUUUCAUUUUCAUUAUGGUAUAUUUGUAAUGGAUUUAAUGUAUUUGGUAGCGUCCAAUGUUCUAUUUUGAGUCAUUGACAUGAAAAAUACUUUUUUAAUAAAUUAGAUGAUAUCUCUUUUCAUUCAUAGCCACCAUUAAUACUCUUUAGAUCUCUAUAUAUUUUGAUUGCUCCAAGGUGCACCGAGUAUAAAUAUGAGCAUGCCUUUGUUAAAUUUUUUUAUUUUAUGCCAAGCUCCUCUGGUAUAUAUAAUCUAUUUCAAAAUCUAAUUAUCUCUUCUCAUACUUCAAUUGGUUCAAAUAAGAGUCUUUAACCUAUUACUUUUUAAUUUUCCCGGAGAGGGUUGGUUAUAGUGACAACACUACCAAUCACUUAAUUAAACUUUUAAGGAUCAUCUUAUAUUCUAAUUUUUUAUAUUUCUAUACGAAGAGGUCUUUGAAUUAUUAAUAAAGCAACUAAAUUUGUUGGUUUUCUACUCAGUACAUUAAUAACUACAUUUGUUUUCCAAGGAUGGUGAUUGAUUACACAAUCAUAAUUUUUGCUAACUCUAACAAUCUCCUUUAUCUCAUAUUUAACUUCUUAUAAAUAGAGCAAUAUUUCAAAAUCUUGUGAUUAAUGUGUAUUAUAUAUUUCUCCCUAUAAAGAUAAUGUCGCUAAAUUUUUAGAGCAAAUGCCAUCGCAGUCAACUCUAAAUUAUAGGUCGGAUAAUUCUUCUUAUAAUAUUUUAGUUGUCAUAAGAUAUAAGUUAUAAUUUUAUUAUUCUACAUCAAAACACAUCUUAGAUCAUUUUUGGAUGCAUCGUUAUAUGCCAUGAAUCCUCUUGACCCAAAUGGUACAAUAAGAAUUAAAGCUGAAAUCAAUCUCUUUUUUUUUUCUUAGAAAUUAUUUUCAUAAUCAUCAAAUUAUUUAAAUUUUCUUGUUAAUUUGGUUAGAAGUGAUGUUAUUUUAAAGAAUCCUUUCAUAAAAUGUUUAUGAUAACUUAUCAAAAAUUCCUUAUCUUAAUUACAGUAAUCGAUUUGAUCUAAUUACCAAUUGCUUCUACCUUGGCUAGAUCCAUGGCAAUCCCUUCCUUGGAUAAAUUGUGCUCAAGGAAUACUAUCUUCUGUAGCUAAAGUUCAUAUUUCUUAAACUUAGGAUACAAUUGCUUUUCCUCCAAGACACUUAAGGUUAUUCUUAAAUGUUUUACAUAUUCCUUCUUAGAGUACGAGUAUAUUAAAAUGUCAUCAAUAAAAAUUAUCAAAAAAAUAUCUAGAUACUCAUUGAAUAUAUUAUUUAUUAAGUCCAUAAAGAUUACUAGUGUAUUUGUUAGACUAGAUGACAUCAUUAGAAAUUCAAGAUAUCUAUUUUUUAUCUUGAAGGCCAUCUUAGGAAUAUCCUCAUUCUUGAUUUUUAGUUAAUGGUAGUCUACUUUUAAUAUAAUUUUGAAAAAUAUUGAUGCACCAUGUAAUUAAUCAAAUAAGUUAUCAAUUAUAGAGAGUCAAUAUUUAUUCUUAAUAAUUAUCUUAUUCAACUUCCUAUAAUCUAUGCAUAAUUAUAUUAUCAUAUCAUUUUUCUUUACAAGUAGGAUUGAUGCUCCCCAUAGUGUAAAGCUAGGACAAAUGGAACAUUUAUCAUGGUACUCUUGCAGUUAUAUUUUUAACCCUUUAAGUUUUAUUGAAAUUAUUUUAUAAAAUACUUUGGAAAUACAUUCAGUACCCAACAUUAGGUGUAGUGCUAGAAUCAAUUAAAGCAUCUUGGUGAUAAAAAAAAAGUGUAGUGCUAGAAUCAAUUAAAGCAUGAAAAAAAAAUCAUAAAUAUAUAUCUCACUUGAGAUAAUUAAGGGGCCAAUCUCUGCUUUUAUCUUGAUCAUAAAAAAGACUAUGUCUGAUACUCUUUUAUCUUCUAAUGAAAUUAUUGUAUAGUUUCUUACUAAAUGUCUUAGCUUUCUAUACUGAAAAUAUAAUCCUUUUCUUUUAAGACAUUCUCUUAUACGAUGCUUUCCACGUUUAGAGAAAGUAGAUCUUUGCACUUGAGCUAGUUGAGAAGAUUGGAGUGUUUGACUCGUUCUUCUUUACGCAGGAUACUUGGGUUGCCUAUAUUGCUAUUCUUACUUUGGUGUUAUUUAAUUUUAUUAUAAAAAAUCUAUUGUAAGGGCUUAUUAUAAAAAUAAUAUCCUUUCUUUAUAUAACAUAGCCACAAUACAUCUAUUAGGCUUGAAAAUUUCUUUACUUAGCCUCCUCUGCCUCUAAGGUCUUUUCGCUAUUAGAGAAUAAUGAAUGUCUAGGACAUUCAUUUUCAUCUCUAUAUUCCGAUAAAAUUUUAUUAUAAGUCUUUGUAGAAAUCGAUCAACUCUCAAGACAUUAGUACUAAUAGUGUGAGGUGCAAAUCGGGAAAACUCAUCAAACUUUUUGAUAUAAACCAUUACUGAUUGAUCUUCUUGUAUGACAUUAACAAAUUAUGCUAUUUUGACACAUCGGUGGAUUGCGCUGAAAUAUUUUUUGUAAAAGAUCUCCUUGAAUCUUUUCGAAGUCAUUUGUUCAGCAUCUCACUAGUGCUAGGUAUUUUUUUUUUUCAGUAUAUAAGUUGUACAAAUAACUUUAUCUUUACUUGGAAUCAUUGUAUACUCAAAUAUUCUCUCAAAAUUUCUUAUCCACUCUUCCACCAUUCUUUCUAAAUCUUUCAUUUGUUGAUUCUAAAAUAUCAAUAUUCUGAAGUUGCUAUUGGUAUUGCCUAUUGUCUUUGGGCUAAUAAAUGCUUCAGUUGUCUAGAUGAUUAUUCUACCGAUUCUGUUAGCUUAUUAAUUAAUAUAUUUCUUUGAUCUCCUUAUUUAGAUACCUCUCUACCAUCGGGAGUCUCCUCCUUAUUAAUUAACACAUCUAUUUAAUUUUUUAUUACUUCAUCUAUAUCUAAAUAGUUUAUUAUCCUCCACAUAUAUGAUAUUUAAAAUUUAAACUUUUCUACUUUAAUCAAAGUCAAACUCAUCCAAGGAGAUUCAUUUGAAAUCAAUUAAAAUUCAACCACCACUUCUAGUCACUAUAUACAUAUUUAAUAUUAUAACUUAACCUCAUAUUUAAAUUUGCUAAUAUACUUUAUCUUGUGAUACGAAGGGACAAUGCCUUCUUACUAUAAAAUAUAUUUAAGAUAGACAUUGAUACUUGUACAUGCUCAACCAAAAUUUCAUAAAACAUUAUGAAUAACUUAUUUUUUGAAACAUGUAUUUCAACUUUAAAAGCAAAAAAUAUGAGCAUAUCAUUUAUAAGCAUAAAUAUCAUAAGUCAUAUAACUAAGUGAGGGUAAUAUAUACAUAUUAUUUAUAUUUCUAUUAGACUAGUUAUAAUUUAAUGUAUGUGAGGCUCGAGUACUAUUCAUAUGGAUAAUAUUUGUUGGGAAAUCUUGGGGGAGACAUCACAUGCGUAGCGGAAUAAUAGAAAACAAAAUCCCCAAUUUCUCAAAGAUUUAUUUGUCGUUGUGCGAAGAUUGGUGCACAAAAAAUCCGUGAAACUUAAACCGCGUAUAGAGUAGAUUAUAUUAUAUAGGGAGAUCGUAUAUCCCUGAAUCCUUGCAAAUCUCUAGGAGAGGGUGAAGGAGGUCAAGCGUCCUCCUCUCUAGCGGUGAUCCACACAGUAGGGCUAUGACGACGCUCCUCAAAACUCCAGGCCUGCUCUGAGGUGGAGAGGGGGAGGAGAAUAGGAGAGACAAGCAAAGGCUCUAGCCUAUGAACCACUGAAUCCCUCCUAUUUAUAGAGGUCCCCUGUCAACUUAACCCUAAUGGAUCCUCUCAUAUUGGGUAUUGAAUCUUCAUCCAACUACUCAAGCCUCUUAGAUUAGUGGAUCUCUAUCCAAUAAUCUCUCAUGGGCUUUUAUUGGAUCUCGUCAAUAGGAUCCAAUAAUUCAAUGGCUUAUUGGAUAUCUAAUAAGAUAGGGGCUCCGGUGGAUAUCUCAUAUCCGAACCUCUACUCAUCGUAACGCCUACCGUAUGUGUGUGACCCUCUAGGCCCAAUAUCGAGCUGGCCGUGAGUCAUACUUGUCAGAACUCCUUCUGGCUCAGUAAAUUAUUAUCUCCAUAACAAUUCACUCGACUCAUCGACUGCAGACGUUCUAUGCCACUACGCCGUAGUCCCUAGACGAUACAGGGGAAUCCAAUCCAUUGGACAUGUCUGUCCUCAGUUACCGUGUACCUAUAGUCCUUCAUCCAUCUAAUAUCCCAAAGACCAUAUACCGGGUAUGGUGCUGUCAAACCCAUACGGUUUCUACUCGAGUCUUGCUCUAAUCGGAUUCUCCCGGAGAACUCUUUCUCUCUCAAUCUGAAUGACCUUAGCUAGGGAUUUGUCUGAGCAAGAACACAUGAGAUAUUCCUCUCAUGAUACCGAAAGUGGAUGAUCCUCCAUCGACACUCAAUAGUAAGGUUGACUACUACUCCCGAAGACCGACUAUGCUAGAUCUGGGACAUCCUUAGUAUCUCAAGUCUAAAGACCAGAUACACCACUAAGACUACUGAAUCGCAGUCUGACAAUAAGGUAUCAUCAACCAUCUAACAUUCCGUAAGCGGAUCAAUCAGUGAACUAAUUCUCCAAUGAGCACCUAUACUGUAUCCCUAGUAUCCCCACACGAGCAACUAUGAGACCAACUACAUCCAUCAUAUGGACGAGUAUACAGCACACUAGUCUGUCUGGUUAUCUCGAUGUCCCUCUCGAGUAACCUAUGACCGGGAUUAUUUAGGAUCUAUGUUUAAAGGCGAAUAUGUCUCAUUAUCGUGAUCUCAUCAUGAUCCGAUUUUCAUCACACAUAUCUAAGGACAUCACAAUAUAUAAAUACAUAUAUACAAUAAUCAAUAUAAAGUGAUAAAUACCAAAAUAUAAUGAGCAAAAAGAUUGUAUGUGAAGUCACACGUGUCAUCACUCAUAUGAUUAGCUUGUUGGGCACGUAUGACUAGCAAUAUUUUCAUCACAUAAUUAUCACUAAGUUAGAAUAGGAUACUAAUUAGAUCCUAAAUUGAUUUUCGAUAUUAUACUAACACUACCACCAUACCAUGGCGUGAUCAAGUUUGAAUGAAUCUAGUUUUCAAUUUAGUAUAUUUUAUUAAAUCUGUGAACAUCAUGAUAACAAUAUUAUUUUAGCAAUAGAAUAACAUAUUAUUGAAAUAGAAAAUAUGUUUCAUAACCAUAUGUAACAAAGGAUUUUACAACAUUGUUCUCAUGGCAACUAAAGACGUAUAUACUUAUGAUAAGAAUUGUAUCUAAACGCCACUGUUUCUCGCUCUCUUCUCUUCGAAUAUAAGUGACUUGAGCAAAGAGGAGGUUUUAUCAAGUAACCACUCGGUACCUUUUAUUUUGUAGAUACCUUUCCAGUGUCAUAUGGUGUUUAUGCUCUUUACGGUGAUGAGAGGAUCCUUUCGAAGCUUAAGACAUAACACACAUGAUAUAUGAUAUUCUCAAAGCUCAUGGUGCUAUCAUUCAACAAAAAGGAUCAAGUCAUCUCCAUCCGUCUCCCACCUCGACGAGGCAACUAAAAUUUGACCUUACUAGAUUAACGUUAAGAGGUAGCAAACAAAUAAACUUUAUAACGAAUCAUAUCAACAUUAUUGUAUAUGGAUGAAUAUACCCAAAAAAAAAAAGUGCUUCAUUUUCAUACAAGUUAAUCGACUCUCUCAUCUUAAAUCGUAUCUACUUGCUCAUGUUCAUGUUGUACCUCAACACCAUGUAGGAAUUGCUUAUACCACCUCGCCGAUAACUUUGGUGUCCUCUUCUGUGUAUUGUAGUCCACAUGAUGGAGUCCAAAUCUCAUGGUGUACCCAUAAAGCCAUUCGAAGUUAUCCAUGAGAGACCACACGAAGUAACCCCUAACGUCUGCCCCUUUCCUGCACCAACAGGCACAAGACAUCAACUUACAUAUACGUUGAGUACUCUAUCGAGUGAUGUUAGUGAAGCAUUUGACAUUUGUGAAGGGAACUGAUGCAUAAGAAUUUAACCUCAUGGCAUUGUUUAGAUAUGUAAGAUAUUGACGCAUGGCGUCCACUCUAUCGCUGUCAUUCAGUAACUCCGUCAUCGAAGAGUUGCUGUGUUGGGCAUAACCUACGAAGUUAAGAACACAGUGAUCAUAAAGCUAAGUCACGUAUGUGAUCAUGUGAUGACAAUAAUCGAAAUCAUACGUACCGUUUUCAGUGAUGAACAUGGGGGUGUUAUUGUAUCUUCUCAUGGUGUACAAAACCACCUCUUCGAUGCCGUAAGGAACAACAUAGUAAUUUGGCAUUGCGGUCUGUGAAACGUAAUUGAACAAUAAGCCACUCGACGAGACUAUCUAUAUAUAUGAUAGAGCAUGACAUGAAUAUAAUCUGAUAUAUUUCUUGUGAAGCUUACUGGUUUUCCAAUGGGAAUUCCAUUUCUUUCGGUGUAGAUAAAUGAUUCACCUAUAUUUCUACUUGACUUGCAUGGAGAAAAGGUACAGUCUCUGACAUACAAGCUAGUAUAGUGAUUGAUUCCAAUAAAAUCCAACUUAUAUUGAAGCUUUCUCCUCUCCUUAAUUGAGAAUGUAGGGAGUUUUGAACCUAAAGCCUGCCGCAUUUCGGGUGGAUAAUCACCAUGGAUUAUUGGAUCGAGAAACCUACAAAACACAAGUACUUAAGAACAUUAUAAGAACAACACAAAAGAUUCAUAAAAAAGGACUUAGAUUAUUACCUUGUUAACGAAUACGAAAGGCAAAAUUUUUGCGGUCUUAAAUGCUAGCGAGGUGUAGAGCAAGAGAGGUCCGUAACCAAUAAAAUGAUGGUCUAAAAUUAACGUAUGUAUUCUUAUCUAUGAAGAUAGAGAGAUAUGACUUAAUAACCUCUUCUAAUAUAUAAAAAGACAUAAUAGAAAUAAUUUCUUAUGUUUCAAGUAUAUAACAAGCAAGAAUUGUCUAAUGAUGUAUCCAAUGCAUUAGACUUUAACCCAUAGGAUAUGAGGAAAAUUAAAUUCUUAUCUUGAAGAUAGAGAGAUUGUUUUUUAUGACUUGCACCCAAUAUCAUAAAUGAAAGAAGUAACCUUACCAUUGUUGGGCUGACAUCCCAUGAGUUCAGCUCAUAAUGAGCUUUAACAGUCCAUCUCAUCUCUCUUUUAACUUAAACCUAGAUCUAAUAAGGGGGUGUGGUGGUUGCGAAAAAUAAGAAAAAAAACUGCAGCAAUAGGGGCAGAAGCAACGUGAUUCAAAAAGAGAAGAAAAUGAUAAAAAAAAAACAAGAGAAAGAAAAUGAAGAAGACAAGGGCAAUGCAAAGAGACUCUUCUCAAUCAUCUAGACAGUGUUCUCAUCUCAUGUUAGAUCAGAUCUAUAAUAGAUUCUUGCUAUGAUUACUUAGGGAGAUUUUGGAUAUUGUGUACAGUGACGUAAUCCUUGUAUCCCAGUUAUUCUCUUGUGAUUAUUGCUUGGGUUUUGGGUAAGAGACUUUGAGAUUUGUAUAUUCAUUAUUCUUAUAGUGGAUUUUCUCUGGUUUGCCUCAUGGUUUUUAUCCUUCACUUUGGAGGGGUAUUCCACGUAAAUCUUAGUAUCCUAUUUUAUUAUGAUUCCAUUUAAUUCCGUUGCUGUUACAAUAUGCUUGUAUUUGUUCGUAUACAAAGUUCUCUCUUUCUUAUCCCAUCAAUCGUUCUGGUGGCUACUCCUCCCUCGUAGAGCGGUGUUAAUUACCUCUUCUAAUAUAUAGAAAGAUAUAAUAGAAAUAAUUUCUUAUGUUUCAAGUAUACAAGCAGCAAGAAUUAUCUAAACUUGCACUUACAUGGAAAUAAAUAAGUUGAUAGUACAUCUACUAAUAGUUUGAUGGAUGGAGAAAUUACCAUGCAGCUUGGAAGGACAUUACUUGUCGGGCUACUAGAAAAUCCAAUGAGUUGUUCCUGAGUGGCUCAAACCAGCACAUGAAAAUUACAAUCCCAAUCAUGCCUUGCUGUUUCACCUUUAGAUUGAAUCAAGCAAAGAAAGAAGAUUAGAAAUGAAAGACAUUUUGCAAGUACUAUAAUAUCAUAAAAACUAAUGCUGAUUUUAAAUUUACAAUUGAACUUAUUAUUCUGAGGUUCCAUAUUCAAAGAAGACGAUGCAAAUCAGACAUCAAACUGAGCUGCAUAAUACAUCACUGUAAUCUAACUGGAUACAGACCUUCAUGAGUCCUUUUGUAGAUCCGUGAGGAAGUAAUAGAUACUUUUUUCUUUUCGCAAAAAAACAUUAUGGAGAUAAAUUUGAAAAGAUUAAAUUCUUAUAUUUGAUGACAAAACUUGUACCUGAUAUCUCUUCCUAUAGAUCUCCACCGCGGUAGCAUGCGAUAAUAUAGCAUUGUGACCGGCUAUAAAUUCUUUAUUGCGAUGCCCGGGAGGAUACUCUCCGGUGCCAUAUCCAUAUCUCACCAUCAUACGUGGCUCGUUGAAUGUGCUCCAAUACUUCACUCUAUCACCAAAUUUGCUAAAGCAAACCUCAGCAAAAUAUCCAAAAUCUUUCCUGAAAAUUCACAUCAUGAAUGAUAACUAACUCAACAUAUCUAAUAGAAAGUGAAAUUAACUACAGUCAUGAAAGAAAAGGAUAAGGAAGAAAUGCAUACUGUAUUUUUGGACUUAGCCAAGCUCCAUAUCGAUCUUCGAGUUCUUGAGGAAUGUCAUAGUGACUCAGUGUGACAAAUGGUUCUAUGCCUGCAUCGAUUAUGGUAUGCGAAGAUCCAAAACAUUAGAUGCUUUAUUUUUCGGUGAAGAUUUGAAAAUGUUCCCGAAAAAUAUAAAAUCGAACUAUUAACUUCAAUAACAAGUCAUUUAGUGUCGUAAUCGACUCGCUUAAGUUUGAUAUGAUCGAUGUGAGCACUCUUUUGUUUGUGUGAGGAAUAAAUAAUGACAUGAUGACUACCUCUUAGGAAUAAAUAAUGACAUGAUGACUACCUCUUAGCAACAGGGAAUCGAUAAGGUUGUUGUAGAAUGCUAUGCCUGUCGGAUUAAUCUUCCCAUAUCGACCUCCUGGCGACAAUAACAUAUAACUAAGUUCGUGACAAUAACAUAUACGAAUUUGCAAUGACAUCCCAAAUGGAUCAUAUCAUAUGAUUAUGAUCACAAAUAUACUUGGCUAGAUAAGAUAAAACCUACCGAUUAUGCAUAAUUAUCCACAUAAAUAAGCAUAAACAUAGAAGAAUAGAAAUCACGCGUGGUUAAAAGUCUAUCGAGAUAACACAACUUAGUUCUUUGGGCACUAACUUGGGAGGACUCUCGACCAUGAAAUGGAGAACCUGUAGGAGUUGAUUCCGAGUGAAUGCAUGAGCUCAAUAUCUUCCUGCAUAAAUCACUCCUCUUGAUUAGAACGUGCAAUUUGGUGACAUAAAUACGAUGUAAUCAUUAGCAACACAGACGUAGAAAACUAGAGUAUGAAACUUUCAAUAAUCUAAGUAUUAUUGUUCAUGCUUGAGAUGUGCACAUAUGAAACAAAACAGCCCUAAAAGAUUCAACUUAAAAUUUGGAGGUUAGGUAUAAACUCCAAUAGUUCGAUUCAAGGUUUCUCCUCAUUAUUAAUAUAGCAUGAAAGAGACUCGACUCAGCUAUGGCGUGAAAUCACAAAACUAGUAGCUAAAUAGGAGCCUAAAAACCUACUACUCAUUUGUUAUCAUGAACAGAGAUACCAUGUAGAUGUGGUAAUGAUCAGCUGCAACAUCUCCAUUGCUGCCAUCCUUUAUCUUGCCUCCUGCACAGUGGAAGAACCAAAACAAACAAGCAUGAAUGAUACAUACAAACUUGAGUUCAUCUGCAGAGACUUGACAAGUUGAUGGAUGAAGAAGAGACAGGAAGGUCGAGUAAUAUAACAUGGUAAGAGAGAGAGAGAGAGAGAGAGAUGACAUUACCUUGUGAGUGAGUGAAGACGUCCCAGUUGCUCAAGCUUUUGUUACCUUCUUGAUACGCACCCUCGAUCUACAAUCAAAAGAAGUUUGAGACUGCGAGAGAAUUCAACAGUAAUAUAUAUUAAAUACAAGCUGACUUGUUCAAGUAUUAACACUCUUUCUCUCUCAUAAAAUCUAUUUGUUUACCAUCCGAGGAAAGUCAAUCAUACUAUUAGAAUAGUAUAUGUAAGAGAUUUUGAGAAUUAAUGUCUAGGAAGAAAGAAAUCCUAGUACGAAAAAAAGUUCUAUCCUAAAAAUUAGGGUUUUAUCUUCGGGGACUCUUGAAUUUCUGUGUGGUUUAGAAAAGAAAAAAUUAUAAAUUCUUCGAGUUUUAUGUGAUAAAAAUUUUAAUUAUUUUAUAGAUGUAAGUGAGAGGUAUUAAUCUUAUAUCGAUUUUUUAAUAUAUUUUUUAUUUAUUAAUCUUUAUUUUUUAUUUUUUUAAAAAAAAUUUAUUAUCCCCCUUCCCCACCUAAUACAGUACUUAAAAAGACAUGGCCAUAUCUAUAGUCGGUAGAUGGAUGAAUGCGUCAAAGACAUCGCAGCGAAAGUCAACAUCAAACAAUAUGGCAAAGAGCCGCAAGCAAUCAAGAAGACUAUUCCUGCACAAGUAUCGAUGUCCUGUUUCGAGUGUUAUCUCCUUCCCGUGGCCUUUGCGUUUGUCGGAGAUGUCAGGGAUAUUAUUAGGUAAUAGACCUUUCUUAAGUUCCAACAAUGAAGGAUGAGGAGGAGAAGCCACUCACCCGAUAGAUUUCCUUCUUUUCAAAAUGACCGAGAUGAGGAAAAAAAAGGAAAGAGAAGAUGAAAGUUAUCAAUAUUAUUGUCCUCUCUUUCUUGACAAGAUUUGACCAGCAGCAAUCGAUAUUAGCGCACGCAUCACUGCAGUCUCGUACUCUUCUCGUGACGGAUGAUCCUCUUCCCGACUCCAUAGAUAGCGUACGAUGGUGGGAAGAGGAAGUGACGAGUACAAAAGGAGGAAGUGAUGAGUACCUGGUAGGCGGAGGUUGAGGUCCCGAAGAGAAAAGAUGGAGGGAACUGAUCCCGGCGGAGAGCACAAGUGGUGGAAAACAACGACUGCACGAGGAAGAGGAAAGCGGAUGCGAGGACGACGACGACCUUCUUCCUCCUCUCCAUAUGCACGCUCUAUUCGUACGUCUACAUGCAACCUGGGAUCGCCGACCGACCUGUGCGUCAACCUUCCCUUGGAGUAGUAAUCGAGAGGGUCGCUUAUCUAGUUGGUCAAAGAGCCUCGAGCUGGAGGACUCACGAGUGGAUCUCUGAGCUAACUAACAUGGCCAACGUGAUCGAUCAGCUCGGCUCAAACGAGUAGGAACAGUCCUCUUUUGGAUUUCCCAAACAUAUUGUUUUCUUUCUUCCCUGUUUAAUCGUCAUCGGGAUCUCUCGUGAAUCAAAACUCAGAUUAAAAUACUGAACAACUUUGGUUGCUAUGGAUCAGAUGUUGUGGAUUCUUUACGCACUCGUUUCAAUAUUCUACGAGUCAUAUGAGCCGCGCGGAAGGUAUAUUAAUCGACAAAUAUAUACCUACUGCACAUUGAUGGGAAGGAUGGGCAUAUAAUCAAUAUAGACGGCACUUGGAUUCCCCAGUGAGAUGUUUCAUCGGAUGGCGUCCACUUGUCCACGUGGCCAACAUGGGGGAUCAACGACGCACGAUUUGUUCGUGGAGAUGCUGUGUACAGCUAAGUAGAUGUCGCUUGCGUGUUAUAUUAGCGCAUACAUACGAAAACGCGUUAUAUAAUUUUAGCCCAAUGAGACUCACGAUUCAAAUAUCCAAGUCGUUUCUGAUGUUUUUGAAGUAGAAAAGAAAGCAAUGUUACUAUUUGAUUCUGGGUUUUCUGACGAAAGCCUUCUGUUGCUAUUAUUUUACGAGUGUUAUGAGGGCUCAUAAUGAUAUUGUUUUGGCCUCAUCCUUGCAAGAGUUGAAAUAUAUAUAUAUAUAUAUAUAUAUAUAUAUAUAUAUAUAUAUAUAUAUAUAUAUAUAUAUAUAUAUAUAUAUAUGAAGAUCCGGACAUUUGAAUAUAUGGCUAAUGUCUCACCUCUAACAGAUGCACACAAACCAGCAUUUAUAGGUGUCUUGAAAUGACAACACCAAAAUUGCCAGCAUUUCACAUGGACGGAACAUUAAUGCUCAAAGGAUAAGUUAAUGACUCAAGUCAUGCAGCUAGUCACUUCCAGAUAUUAUUAUUUAUAGGUGUUGAUCUAAAUAGUUGUUUCUCUUGUUUUCCAAAGGAAGACAACAAAAGCUUAGCCUGCAAAUCACAAGAGAUGGAGUUGUUUCCAAAGGAAGACACAACAAAAGCUUAGCCUGCAAAACACGAGAGAUGGAGUUCUAAAGAACACUGACUAUUAGAAUUCACUUCUUGGAGUCGCCAGGAGCAUCAUCCUGCCAAGUUGCUCGCCAUUGCUUGUCGUACAUAGUCGUUUCCUCGAAGAGCUUCUUUAAGUUCUCAAUAUCUCUGUUUUCCCUGAUCAGCAGUACCCAAACUACGGUUGCAAAUAACAUGGUUUUGCAGAAAAAGUUACCCGUUUGACCAACAAGCCCGAUGCCGGUUAAGCUAUCGACGAAAUAAGCCAUGAAAAAACCAAUCAUUGCAGCACGACCUGCAUAGUUGUCAUGGUGUAAGAUAAUUUACUAUCUUCGUUGACCGAUUCAUCCACAGAUCAACAAGAGGCAAUGGAAUAACCCACCAUUGAGUUUCUCUGCUUCAGGAAGAUGAAAACUUUUGAUCCAUGCCCACCAGGGUAUGAUUGAUGUAUCAAAUAUUACAGGUUCGUCGAUACUUGAGGCUUCAGGAUGGUCUUCAAGCCAUUUUCUCCUGCUAGCCUCUAGAUGACAAGACAUUCAUUCUAUGAGAGAGACAUAGUUUGCAAACAACAUUUCUUGAUCAGCUGGAAUAAAUCUUGUGUUACCAGGUAUAAGCUCUUUCUCUAUUACAUUUAUUUGCAUUCAGGUCUAAUCUGCAUCUAAAACAUUUAUUACUCCCAUGUGAAUAAUAUGUUAAGCCAACAGUUCUGUUGGGAAUUUGUAAUUAAACACGACUAAUGAUAAUUAUGAGGCUUUCUUUCAGGACAAUACAAAACAAAAAUUUUCAACAAAAACAUGAGCUGACAGAUAUGAUUUGUAUUUCUUACCCAAAACCAGGAGGUAUCUAAGCAGAGAUUUGAUGAAUUUCUCUGAAGACAAGCUUGGAAGUGUUUGUAUAUAAUAAUUUUCUUAAAAUUUGUAAAUUUCCAAACUACAUCUGAUACUAAAGAGGAAUAAUAAGAAACAUACUACUGUUCAAAGAAGUUGCAGAAUCUGCAUGGAAAAAGGCCCCUGCCAGGAUUUGUUGCACCAAAUUAAUCUUUACUUACGUUAGAAAAUUGUACGAUCAUUUGCUAUAACCUAUGAACCAUAUGAAUGUGAAAAAAAUAUGCUAAUAGACAACACAAAGGAAAAAAAAUCAAACAAUACCUUGCAACUUAACUUGAGCCAUUUGAGAAAUAACUACAACCUUAAAUUAUAAUAAUGUAAUCAGGUUACUACAUAAGUAAAAGGAUUUGUUUAGCGAUUUGAUCUUCUCUAUAUCUUUUUUAUUUUUUUCUUCUCUCUAUCUUUUUAAGUUUGUUAUUUAGAGAUGGAAAUUGAUGAACAAUAUGUAGGAGUAUGUAGGUUAGAGGAAAGACAGCGACCAAGGUUUAUCUAAAGUGGCUAGUUCCACCUUGACUCUUCGUCUUCCUCAAUGCUCUUAAAGGUGUUACUCCGUUAACGAAUAAAUGCUGUUCAUAAAUCAAGGUCACGUAUGUACUUAUAUUUUGGAAGAUAAUUGACUCAAAACACAUUGAAUUUAAGAGGUAUGGAAAGAUAACUAUUCUUCUUAAUGCCAUUACACCAUUCACUUCAUGUAGACCGCAUUGUCACGAACGGUUGUUGCACACUCGCAACAACUUCGUUCAACGAACCGUUCGUCGCUUUUGCAUGCUUGAACACAGACAUGACAGCUUGUUUUGCCUUGGUUUUGUGUGUUUUUUGUUGUAAAAAUACAUGUUCAAAUAGGUUGCAGCGCACAGUGCGAUCGCUCACUGCGCCGGGUCAAAAAGCCCCAAAAUGACUCCGUUUUCGUGUGCCGUGGGCUGUUUUCUGAAGCCCGCUGCAGCGCGCGAAAUGUCAGCCAUCUCAGCACCCUGGAACCCCCCGGGUGGCAUAGGGCUGGAUGGGACUUCGGUAUAUUGUCGGGCGUUGAAAAAUCUUCACAAGUUCGCACGCUGACUUGACGGGAACUUGCCUUCGCGCCCGGCACCCGGUGAGUAGUUGUUUGUGGACUUGCAAUUGUUCGUUCUAUCUUCUAAAGUCCUUGUUUUCCUCCUUCCUCUCUUUUCUCCUGUGCACACAAGGUGCUUGCUGAAUUGCUUGUAAAACUUCCCUCUUUGCGAGAUGUCGGGACUUGUCCAUCGCUUGUUUUCAAUCUAAUCAACUUUCUGUUUUUAUAGGUCAUUCGGGACCUGUACGAGGUUGCAACUAGACUCAACCUUUGCAGACGCUUAUGUCGCAAGGAUGCCUCAAGACUUAGGCAAUCCUUGCUAAGUCCGUGAAAUUGGCGCAAGGGUGCAUCGCGACUUAAGUAACUCAAGCUAAAUUUGCAUCUUGGCCGCAAGGGUGCCUCACGACUUAGGCAAUUCUAGCUAAGUCCGUGACAGCAUGCCUUUAAGUAACUCUCACCUUCAUAUGAUUUAUAAUUUGCAUAUGUUGCUUUACAAGUAUUUCCCACUUUCAUGAAAUCCACACACACAAAAUAUUCAUGCAGUAAUGAAAGAAACAUUUAAGAAAAAUAAUCUAAUGUUCUCUCAUUUGGCCAAUUGAUUAUACAGAAAAUUCAUAGAUUUAUCGAGUGGUCAUAAUCUUAACUAUAAAUAUACUGAACUAAAUGAACUACUAAUAUAAACCAUGAUGGUUUCACAUCACUGAUGACAAUCCUUUCCAUGUUUCCUUUAGGCAUCAAUCCUUUAGUCACUAAGAGUACUAGCGUGUCAUUCAGUGAUUUAAAUAGGCACUCGGGCGCUCACCUAGGCGCUCGGGCGAGGCGAGCCCCAAGCGUCUCAUGUGUAGACCAAGCAGCGCGCUUCAAUGAGGCAUCGCCCGGGCGCUUCAGGUGAGCACCCAAUUCAAAUAAGCGAACCAAACCAGACUUUUAAAUAUGGUUCAAUUCAAUAACGAUGUUUCUUACCCUCAAAAGCCACCCUUCAUGCCUGCACAACCCCGAGCCAACCCUAGCGCUACUUCUGCCUUCGUCGCUGACACUUUCUGCAACUGCCUUCGCUGCAGAUGCAGCGGUCCGAGCCUUCCUCUGUCAAUGAUAGACGAGUCUAAUGACCUAGCAAGAGCCUGUAGCUUCCUUCUGUUGUCGCUCCAUGUGGAGUUCCUUCCAUUGUCAAGGGAGAGGACCACAGGUUCCUCCACCACUAACGAGCACCCUCUAGAGCUUCCGUCGCUACCGCUGCUGCUAUCUGCAGCUUCCACCGCUGUUGCUGUCUACAGUUUCCCCCACUGUUGCUGCCAGCUUCUCAUCGCUAUUAUUGUCGCUUUCAUGGGUUUCCACUGUCGGUGACCCUUUUAUCUCCUUCUGUUACUGUUAACAGUAUAUUUUUAAUUUAAUAUCAUAAUUUUUAUUUAAAUAAUUAUAUUUUUAAUUAUAUUAUAUAUUUUUUAUAUUUUAAUAUUUCAUAGCGUCUCGCUUUGUUCGAGUGAGCGCCUAGUGCCUUAGGCAUUUUAGAACCUUAGCGCCUUUUGGUGCCUAACGCUUUUUAAAUCACUGGUGUCAUUUAUGUUCUUGUACAUUCAAUGAACACUAAUUUACUGUGUGGCACUAAAAGAAAUAUGAGCUAAAAUUUCCAACAACUAUAGUUAGAGGAUGUGUCACCAACUUUUUGGAUAUCCCUUUCCUUCUAGAGAAGGUGGUAACCUCCAAGAAAGAAUUCUAAGAAAAGAGAGAAACAAAAUGGAGAAUAGAGGAAAAGCGAAGAAAUUUGAGUGAAGAAAAUGUUCUUUUGGUUUUAAAUGUGUCUUAUGGCCAAUAUGCUUAUAUAUUUCUCGGAGUUGCUGGAAGAAAAUCUCAUCAUCUCAUAAUAUCUCUGUAGAAAGAUGACUAUAGUAUUCUCGAAAUACAAGUCUAUGUAAGCAAAUAACUCAUUUAGAUUACAUCAUUAUCCUUUUAAAAUAUUAAUUUGACCUUAAAUUGGACAACUGACUGGUCAAACCUUGAUUAAAAGCCUCCCAAACUCUUGUAAAAGCUGUAAGAGACAUCCACAAAGACAUUGAAGCCAUCUUGAGAGGUUAAUGUGACAAGAUAGAGCCUGCGCUAACCAAGUUGAUCACAUAACCUCAACAUAAAACUAGGUUUUUGGGGCCGAAUUCCUCUCUGGGCUAGUCAAUCAUGUCGAAGCUGCUAUCAACCCCCCUAUUCUCUUCCCCAAAGAGGAUCAGCUAUGAGAAUCACUCUAUAGUUGAGUUGAUCAAGAUGCAUUAUUGAGUUUAGACUUUAAGAGUAGGGUUGAGUUUGAAGCACAAGUCAUUGUGGCAUUGCCUAGACAACUUAGUGGCUAAAGAGACACAAACCUAGACCUCCAAAAUUACUUGGUUAUGGUGGUUUAAGCACAGUUGCUACAUAUAUUUGCGGGCAGAUUUAAUCUGGCUUGGAUAAGGGAGAUGCAUCAUAUAAUAUAGUGACCUGAGAUGUAUGACAAGGAAACUAGUCCAAUUAAAUCAGUAUACAAAGAAAUCAAAUACACACCACCUCCUAUGAUACUGCAUAAACCAACCAAAUUAAGAAGGAUAACUACACUUGUAUGCUGCUCCUUAAGCAUAAUGAACCAUAUAGCACGCGCUACAAACAUCUGGAGAUCUAUCAGGAAGCUAGAGCACAAAGAUGAUAAGUAAUUUAAGGGAAUUUUUACCUGGGAGACCAUAUUGAUGUACAAUCUUGUAAAAGGUCAAGAAGAAAAGAGAGGCUUACCGGCAUGUAUGACGGCGUCCCAAUCUGUUCUUCCAUUCUUCCCAAACUGCCUCGUAUCCCAGGUUCCCCCAACCCAUCUCGUGUCCUCGAACUUGAGCGCUUGUGCCUUCACCACGGAACCAUCACGAAUCUCAUGGUGGUGGUACUGCUGCUGCUGCUGAUGCGGCUGCUUAUUCUUCUCCGACUCCAGAGGACGAGGAGUAGGAGAAACGGCCUCGUCCUUCUUCUCCAUAUUCCCGUCUACGGCGUCAGCAGAUCCAUCCGCGCAUCUCGCAAGAACCAGAGAUAGGUUCCUGGCAGUCAGAAGUAGAAGAGAGGGCGGCGGUGAUGUGAUUCUGGGGCGGAGAUGGUUACGCUUACAGGAUAGGGCACGGAAGAUGGUCGGCGGAUGAGGAGAGGCCAACAACGCCAUCAUCGGCAUGGGCGUUUGCUUGCUAAUGGUUGUAUGAUGAGGAUGUGGGGAAUGGUGGCGAGGGAAGAAAGGAACUCCGCUUCAGAUGCGCCGUGCUGCAGGGAUGGAGGCGCAAUGUUGUCUUCAACUGCAGUUGGUGUCCCACUCCCACUCCCACUCCCGCUCCCGCUCCAACUCCCUACUGGUGAAGAUUUCAGCUUUAACCAAUUAACCCUAUUCUCUCCAAUUAUUGUUGCAGUUGAGAUUGUGCUAUCAAGCACAUCAUAACCCACCACUGAAAUCUCUGAAUCGCGCAUCAAUGGAAGAAAACACUUCUAUCUUUAUUCGAGGACAUACGACAUCGACGAAGAUUAAAGCGUAGGAUAGAUGGUAAUAUGAGAGUUGAUUGUGGUAUUAUUUGAAUUUCUCAAAAAUGAUGUCAUUAUUAAGGUGACACCAAUAAAUUUAAUUUUCAUAAGGUUGAUUAUUUUUUAGAAAUAAUCAUAAGGAAACAGAAUAGCAUUUUACUCAUUUUUUUUCAUUGCAUUUAGUCUAAAGAAAGUUGACUUUAUAGUCUUCAAGCUCCAAAAUUACAGAACCUCAUUCAAUGAUAUUUAUUUAUUUAAAAUCUAUAGUUUAUUGAUAAUGUGAUAUUUGAAAAUUGUCAUGAAUUAGACCAAACUAUUGAGGAUACACAAGUCUCAAUCCAAUCUUUAAAAAAACAGAAAAAUAAAGAAAACAUCAAUUUGAAGCAUCUGUAUCUUGCAUAUUUCAGUUUGCUACAGUGAUCUUGACAGGGUAUAAAACAUUGUAUCACAGAUAAUUGGUACUUAUUUUACCCAGCAGACAAAUAACUCACGGAUUAAAAGCAUGCAAACAAAUAGAUGCACUUGAAUAGUCAAGUGACAAACCAGUGCAAGAAAAACAAUAUGGGUUUAGUGGUAAAGUGCCCCAAGAUCACUUGACAUUUCAAUGAAUCAGUAAAGUAUGCAUGUGCCAUGUUACCAAGAUGGGAAGGACCUAGCUCUUUGGUUCGAAUGCUUUCUCAGGGUGAUCACUGUCAAUCUCCGAAUGGUGAGGGAAAUCGUAUGGCAUCGCUUCAGCUCGGAGGUGGGCAUCCGUGAGAACCUGUACAACUUCUUCGUGAACAACUGAAUUGCCUUCUUCUGUUAAGUGCAAGCCAUCACUGGAAAAACGAUUUGUAUCAGUGCAUCAUGCAUUAGUAAUCUGGUGUUGCCGAGAGAGACUCAUAGGGCAGAGCUUUUAUCUACUAACAUAAACCACUAUCUCAGCUUGGCUUGUACAAUGUAUAAAUAUGCAUGGAAUCAAAACAUGAUUGAGAAGUCUCCAACUGACUUAGACUUGGUAACAUAUAAAGACUAUCAGAAGGCUCCAAUACACUUGUGUACAGGAACUUCUGGUCUGGAUUAGUUGAUGCAAACUACUGAAGCCUUGAAGAUGUUUCAUUUACUUGAAUCCACACGUAUUAGAAAUAUUUAUGUCAAGAAAAGUACAAUUUUAAUUGCAAACCAUGCAUGGCACCCUUUAUCAAGAGAGUUCAAAUACUAUAAAUAAGAAAACAGACCAUUUUUAGUUACAGAACAACUAUUAAUUAAUACCAGAAAUGGAUAAGAUCCCAACCAUUUUGUAUUUCAGUCAGUCUAUUAAUUGUUCCUGCAAAAAUAGGUAAUUAAUCCAAUUCUAUUACUUUUUACAACAAUAGGAUCUGAAACUGAUUAAACACCAGCUCCAUAAAUGAAAGCAAUACCAAUUAAAACUAUUUGCAUUAAUCUGCAUACUGUAGAGUAUUCAACUUUUUGGUUAUCAACUCGUGGGCAAGAACCUUGUGAUUGUUCACUUUCCAGUUUGAGUAUAUCAUUCUUAUAAAAUACAUACAGCAAAGAUGGUCGCCAUGUAUUUUGAACCAUUACUAAUUAACUAGAAACUCCAACAGUAGUGGCGUAGCUUAAGGCAUAUUCAAACAUAUCUUGAAAUACAAUGACAUAUAUAACAAAUUAUGGAAUAACACAGUGUCAGCUGUUUGUAAGAAUUGGAUUCAACCGACAACUGUCCAGUUGGUCUUUGAGUCAAACUGUGGAGUUGGCACACACUACCAGCUUACAGUCAUAAAUUGUUUUUAUAGUUCAUCACUGGGUCCUAGAUUCAAUAAUUCAAGUACUCUGAUUUUACUGGUGCCAAAUCAAGAGGACCUAGCCUGGUAAAUUACAAGACAAUUUGUGCUCUGGUAUCCUCUGCUAAGAGGGCUGUGAUGAUGCUAGAAGCUAACAUACUCUUUUUCUCCUUUUUUUAUUUUUUGUUGUAUGGUUAAGUUACAAUACUACUUGAUACAUGUAAACUUGGUCUCAAAAACCAGUCAGACCAUUACGUAUCACAUAGUAUUUUCAGGUUUCAAGGUUGAUUAGUGCACAGUUAAGGGACAACUAGGUGGUAUCACUCGAUAUGAAACUUACCACUCACUAGUUGUCAAAUACCAGGUUAUCUCCCUGGUACUUGUCAAAUACUCAAAAACCAGUCAGACCAUUACGUAACACAUAGUAUUCUCAGGUUUCAUGGUUGAUUAGUGCAUAGAUAAGGGACAACUAGGUGGUAUCAGUCAAUAUCAAGCUUGCCAGUCACCAGUUGUCAAAUACCAGGUUAUCUCCCUGGUACUUGUCAAAUACCAAUCCUACACAAAAAAUAAAGUCAUUAGUAGAAAAUCUAUUUAAAAAAUUGUAUGACAUAGUUCCAUCUAAUUAAAUGACAUAGUUCCAUCUAAAAUUAGUAAGAACUGACCAAAACCAAAUUAAAUGAAGAAAAACUCAUGAGUAGAUGACAAAAUUUAAUGGAAAGGAGACUGUAUGGACUGGCUUUGGAUUUGAAGUUACAAAAAUAACUUACCAAUUUAUCAUCAGCAUAAAACAUGCAAAAAAGCACACUGGGAGCUUACCUUAGAAACUUUUUCUGCCAUCCUGUAGUUUCUUGCAUCUUUGACCAUAGAUCAAUGCAAGGAAUAUGCAACUCUUUAGCCAGCUCAACACACUGCCUUGCAUAAGCACCAGUAUUAUCAUUUGUCCUUUCUGGAAGUUCCAUUGCCUUCUCACCAUAUACAGAUCUUGGUAACGAAAAAGCAAUUUCAUUUAAUGAAAUGUCUAACAAAAUAAUACUUAAUAAGCUUUAAUAAGCAGAGUAAUGUGAACUUUUAGCACAUUUCCUAUAAAAUUAUCAUGUAAUAUCACCCAUGAUUCACUAUUUAAUUCUUAAUCUUGUUUAUUUCCUACUAUUAAAAGCAAUACAAUUGGAUGACACAAAAAGUCGAUUUUGAGUUUCGGUCUGAGGGCUUUGUCUUUAUCUUCUUGUAAGAAUUGGUAAGCUGAAUUACAUCAGUUCUCAUAUCGUAUCAAAACUGGAUACCUUCCAGCUUCUUACCCACGUGUUCUAAUCCACUAACAACUACCUCUCUCGCUGUUUUCUCAAUAGCUAUAUCCGACAAAUUUCAUAUCAUGUCAAAACUAAAGUUUCAAAUACUGGUUGGGCCAGUGUGUAAACUGAUAUUUACCAGCCUGACUGAUGAUCGUUAUUAGACCAUAUAAGUCAGAUUUAAUUGGUAUCUUUUUUUUUUUAGGUUUUUUAUGGUACCCAAUGGUGCGUACCAAUCCAACUGAUUGCUCAAACUAUAUAUCAGACCAAUAUUUCAACCUUGAUCAAAAUAUCCAUCAGAUAUGCCUAAGUUGAUAUAUAAUCCUAAAAAUGCUUAGAAGAUUCUUUUGUGCUCUCUGGUAAUAUCUUUUACAAUUCAAAAUUUGAUGUCAGCGAUUGAAUUUGUUCAGCUCUUGAACUUUAGUUUCCCAAUUAUGUUCAGAGUUCUAUUAGGUGUCUAUUGUACCAUUCCUCAUAGAGUAAUACACAUUAAGGUUCAACCAAACUCCCUAUUGUCUAUGAAUGCAUUUAUCAAAGAAAAAAUAAAAGAUGAGUGCAAAAUAUGUAAUUGGACUUAGCAUGUAACAAAAGACUGAAAUCGACGGCAAAUGUUGUGAAAUACCAUUAUUAUUGAGUGAGAAGAUGGAGGGGGGAAAAGAAGAAACCAAACCGUGCAUAUUCUGUCCGUCCUUGCUCAUCAACAGGGGGCGGAGUGAUCAACACUACCAGUAUCAUGGCUGAACAUUCCUGUAAGAUCACAACAUGCACAAAAUCAUAAGAUAUGCAUGCAUCAACAAACUAACAAAUUACAUCUGGUACUAAAUAGCAAAUGCCAACAGAAAAUAAACAACAAUUUUUUUAUAAAUCAGCUAUAAAAAUAUCCUAGACCUUCAAGAUUUAUGGGGCUAUGGCUGAUUGUUAUAGGUGGCCAUUAUAUUUUCAGGAGACAAAGCAACCCUAAGUAAAUUAUAAGUAAAGCACAUAUGGAUAUUUAUUAAAAGCUGCUGUUUGCAGCCUCAAAACGCAUCAACCCAAUGAAGUUUGUGUAUUAUUUUCUUGCAUGAAUUAAUUUGAUCUACCUUUUAUCAGCUAAUUGAGUCAGUUUGAGUUACUAUGACCCAAGGUUCGCAAUACCGUACCGUACCGGAAUUUUGAUCUGGGCUCAGUACUGGUACGGUACGGUAUACCGCUCGGUACACCCAGGUGUACCGAGCGGUAUAUUCAGACUGCUACAGUGAUUAUUAAUGCUAUUGAGCUUCACAUCAUUAUUAAUACAGUACCCAUCAUUUUAUUCAAUCUAAAAUGCUAUUGAGCUUCACAUCAUUAUUAAUAUAGAGUAACUGCCACAGCAACUUGCUCCAGUGAUGUACUACAAUAAUUUUAAGUUACCUUUAAUUACUUCUAAAAUACUACAAGGUCCUGGAAAAGUUCCUAAACAUGAUCAGCAUCUUAGUUCAGAUCUGGACCAACAAAUAUCGAUCAGUACGAACAGUCUGAGCGAAAUUGAAGUCCUUGCCACUACUUUAAUUGCCAUACAAGCAUAAAGGCCAAGCAAAGAUUAGAUAACAAUGCAAGAUAUAAGGAUAUUAAGAAUCACAAUUACAAAAUUAAAAUAAUAAACCCUGUUACCUUUAAAUGCUUAACAAUUUUCCUUAAGUUCUCCUUGUACUCUUCAAGAGGCACAUAUUGACGUUCACUUGUCCGCCCCAAAAGGGCUGCAUCAUUAGCGCCAAAAAAGAUAGUUACAGCAGCAGGAGGUGCUGUGCAGUUCUGCAGACACACACACACACACACACAUGUAAAGCCUUUUAGUUCAGAAAAGAUGAACAAGACACCUAAACAUGAUCACUCAGUGGUCGAACAGAAACAAGCAUAUAUACUCAACUAAAACUAAAAUACUAUUGGCACAGCAUCUGCAAGACAAUAAAGUCCUGCAAAAAAUAUGCACAAAAUGGAAUGCACAAAAACAAGGCAAAAAAUUAUAGAGAUUGCAAAGACAUACCAGGGAAAAGAGGUGAUUAAGCAAGAACAAAGCCCACCUUGUGUUGUAGCCACCAUAGCCUCUAACAAUUACAUCAGCCUGGAAAGCAACAGAUAUAGCAAAUAAGAAACCACAAAAAAGGGAACAUUUGAAGAAACAAAGAACUCCCUACAUGCAAAGACAGACAUAUCUAAUUCUUCCAAAGAAAGAAAAGGGGACACACCAUCACUUGAAUUUUGUUAGCAUGUAACUAUCCAUUAACAAUGGAUAAUCAUCAACAUCUCAGGGAGACUCAGCAACACAAUACAAUACCCAAAGAACCCUUUCUAUGCCAGCAGGAGAUAGGAUAGGUCAAUCGAAGGGGUGCCAAACCUGCCCCAAGCCACUUUGGGCCGCAUGGCAGGCCAAAGUAGCCAGGAGGAGUGGCUAAGCACCACCAUAAUAAUGCAAGCAUGAAUUGAGUUUUUCAUGGACUCAUAUUCUGGCUUGUGUAGAACUUUGUACAACUUUAGCCAAUAUUUAAUAAAUCAACGAGUUCCAACUCCUAAUGGGAGUAGGAAUCGGAUCACUACAAUCCAGAUUAAACUCACUCCUAGGAUCAACCCUAAUACCACCCAAAUUGACUCAAAGAGAUCACCUAAUCAGAUUGAAUAAGGGAUAACAUAAGUUAGAAAAAAGAGAAGAAUUUAGACCCUACCUGAAAUCUAGAAGGGGCAAAGUUAAGAGGAAUUUCUAGCCAUUGGUUGGAGCCACAAGCUACUAGAUAUAGUUGACCUACCCUAUAGCCUACCAAUAGGGAUUGGCCAAGGGGAAAGACAGCAGCUUAUCAAGUUAUGUUGGGUUCUAGUUAGGGUUCAUGUGGUAUGAUGCAAAUUCCAAGUGACCUAGAUCCCUUCUCAACCUCAACACCAAAUGGAAGGGGGGUUAAGAGGUCCCACAACCUCGACAACAGUGAAAAAGGAACUAGGAGGGAAAAAAAAACCUUCUUGAGCUGGUCCAGUGCCAAGCAAUUGGCCAAGAUUUCCCGAAAGUACGGGGUGCCUUGCAAUCUUGAAUGUUCAAUAAAAUUGGACAACCAUGGGGAGGAAACCAUAGGCCGUAUCAACACGCUCCAACAACAUGGUGCCCUUUAUCAAUGUUUAGUUCAACUCAAAUUUAAUCAGAUUUAAAAGGGUUUGACUAGUCUAUAGUGUCAAGACUUUGGAUUUAGCCAGCCCACUCAGACCUUACCAUCUCAGAAUAUCUAUAUAUCAACCAGAUCAGAUAUAAUUGGGCUCCACUUCAAAAUUGGAUUACCAACUCUUCACUUGGUAGGAGUUAUAUGCAGAGUGGGAGUCCCAUGCUAGCUAAAAAGUCUUGGUUGGCUACCCAUGGACUGUCACCAAAGAGGAUAGAGGGUUGCCCUCAUCCAAGUCUCCGUUCCCCUUGAAAAUUGCAUCUGGGGGGCUCACCGAGAGAGCCAAAGAUUGAGGUUUGAAGAUAAACAUUAAGGUAAGAUAGGCAUCAGGGUUUCUCUCACAAUGCAAUCCGUACGUAGAUGAGAUGUGACAAUAUAACAAGAUGUAGAACUGAUCCUUAUCUUAAGUAAAUAUUUCAAUAGUUCCUCUCAUAUUCUUCCAUUUCUUUUAUCUUACUCAUGUUUUCUUUUCUCUUCAUCUCCUUUUCAUUCUAUCUUCUGACUGAUAUCUUCUUCCAUCAAAGAAAGAAGUUGUUAUUAGAAGGUAACAAUAUAACAUAUCACUAAGUGUUAAUAUUUUACAUAAACAAGUGAAUAUAGCUGUUGGGAAAUGGGUUUUUGUAAAGUAAGUUUCAUUUCAUCAUUAUCUUUAAAAAGGUCAUAAGAUAUAUAUUAAUUUUGUAAAGUUAGAUAAGUUUGAACUAAGAAAAAAAAUUAAAAAAGCUCGUAGAUUAUCUAAGCUUCGUAGUUAAAUCGUCAAUCCAUACUCUACUGUUAACUCAUGAUGCCGCAUAGGGUGGAAGUUGAAUAUCUUGCAUCUGGCAUUCAUCACAUCUACAAAUGAAGCAUGCAAUCUAUUCAAAAAAAAAAUCAGUAAGAAAUCAGCCAAAGGAGUUGUAGACAAGCGACCAGGAAAAAAUCCCCAGUUCUACAGCACAUAGGAAAUAGGAUUUACCAAAAACCGAUAAGAAUUAAGAAUCAAAAUAGAAAUGCGAGAUCUAUACGACAUGGAUUGCUAGAUGUUACGAAUUGGAUCGGGAUCUGAUAGUAGUCAACGAAAGAAGCACGAGUUGAUGAGGCAAGGAGAGAGAGGAUACCUUUCGGGAGUAGGUGUCGGCGAGAGCAGCGCCCCAACCGCCGGGCCUGAAGGACUGCUGGGUGAUGGAGUCCCCGAACAGAACGAACUGCGGCCUCACCUUCUCCAUCGGCUCCUCCGCUCCAGACUCGAAGAGGCAACUAAGAGGGAUCCUCUGGGAAUAGCCGAUGGGAUGGAAUGACGUCUCUCUUCCGUCGGACCAGCCUUCCUUGUCGAACAAAAGCCACCGAUUAAUUGCCUCAAAACUAAUUAGCAAAGUUUAAUAAUUUAAAAUCUCAUGUAAAAAACUUUAUAAUUAAAUUUUAUUUACCAAAUGUUAUGGUUUGAACGUCUCAUUCACUAAAUUUAUAAUUAAGUCCACCGAUGAUUUGUACAUUAAACUCGUUUAUUAAAAAUUAAAAAUAUUUUUAUUCAUGAGAAUAUAAAAAUAAUCAUAAGGUUAUGAUAACCAAGUAAGUGAACUAAUUACAUAUUAUCUCAAUAGUUAAUUAUCUUUAAUAUUUUGAUUCUUAUAUUUUAAAAAAUUAUAUUCACAUUUAUAUAAUUACGAAAGUAAAAUAUUUAUGUUCAUUUAGGUUAGUAUCAUGAAUUUUACUAAUAAAAAUAUAAAAAUAAAAAAUAAAGAUAUUAAUGUUUCAAUUGAUAAUAGCGGACAACGUUAAUAGUGACGGAUGAUAAUAUUGCUAAGAGCCGCAUAUAGUUGUUGUAAAUGAAAAGAGCGACGAUAAAAGAUAAGAGUCACUCUAUAUUUAUGUCAACGUCAACAAAAGUUAUCGAAGUGACCCUUUCAUCAAUACAAAUGCAAAUGCAAAGCAAAAAGGGUUGCUCGAUAUCUAUAUCAAUGUAAACACAAUUGUUGAGCGAUAAAAAGAUCACUAAUGUAAAUGUAGAGUGACCCUCAUUUCUUAUUGUUGCUCUCCUCAUCCACAACAGUUAUUCACAACUCUUAACAAUAUUGUCGUUUACCACUAUCGAUAUCGUCCACUACCAUUAACUAAAAUAUUAAAAUUAUUUUUUUAUCUUUUUUUUUUAAUUUUCGUCGAUAAAACCGACGAUGUUAGGAUAAAUGAACGAUGUUUCAUUUUCUUAACUAUAUAAAUGUUAAUAUAAUUUUUUAAAAUAUAAAAAUUAAGAUACUAAAUAUAACUAAAUAUAAUUAGCCCGUCAGACGUGAAGUGCACCGCCGCAACCCGUGGGGUUGCUAGCAUACCUUCAUCUUCAGCAAGUGGUACCUUCACAGUAGCCCACAACCACCAAAAACCCUCGUCUAUCCUUGAUAACGAAUCCCAAACAUGAAAUAUCAUCGACGCUCACAAAUGAGACAUCGGUUUGGAGAAAUCAAAACUAGAUGGGAAGCACACAAAUUUCUACUACAUCCAAUACUCCCCUCCCCCACCUCCUUUAGAUCGGUGUAUCACAGCCAUAGUCUCGCCGAUUAGAGCCAUCAUCUUACAUCAUAGUUAUUUUGCUUACGUUAGGCUUCUCAUUGCUAACCUCUAAAUUAGGUCAGACUUAUCGUUUGCUUGCAUCUGCUGUGCAAAUACUUUCUUUCGCAACAACAAGAAUAAUGUUGUCUAAGGAAUUCAAACACUUGCUAGCAGCAUUUAGCAAUAACGAUGCAUCAAAGUACUAACGAGUUGCCCCGAAAUAGGAUUGACCGAUGCGGUAGUGCUUAUCAUAUUGGAGCAGUGCUUCGUAACAAAGCACUAAUUUUUUUUAGUCAUCCUUCUGGCCAUCUACUAUUUAUUUUAGUCUAAAAAAAAAUUCAAAAAUUAUUUAAAACUAUUUUUAAACAAAAGUUCAAACUUAAGCUAAAGAUACUCAAAUAAGAAAUGAUCUAAUGAAUCAUACCCUUCCACACGAUAUUAAAAAAAAGAAAAAAAAAAUCUAGAGAACCAAACAAAAGUAGACUGCCUAUCCCAUUCCAGUUUUCACAAAAAUAUUUUCACCUUCUGAACCACUACAAUCUUUCAAAUAGUCUUUCAAUCGACUUUAGUAUUGUCAAGUGUCUGUUGUUCUUUAUUGAGUAAUAUGUACUUACUUUAAGCAUCAUCAUUAAGGACUAGACGAAUAUGUAUAGUAGCUACCUUCUCAACAUUUUGCAAUAAAAUAGAGUUAUUCUAUUAGUUAAAUGAAAUCAAAUCAGACACUAUCUUGAAAUUAUUAGCCUCUUUAAAAUUAGUAAAAUUUCGCUAAAAAGUGAAUGAAAUACUACACAUGGAUCUGCCACUGCCAAUAUUGAUAAGGGAAUCAGAUCUUAAAGCCUUGAGAGAGUUCAAGAUAUUUUUCUAAGACCAAUAAGUUGAGGGUGUAGGGUCAUAUUUGGCUUUGAGCAUAUUAAUCCAAAGAGUAUUCUGCUCAUUGAAGGAGGGGAAACAAUCUUUUGGCAACUAUCAUUCUCCUAACUAGAUGAAGGUUAUAUAGAAUGCUAGCUUAUAAGAUUACAGCCCUUCUUAGAUUCAUUCCAACCCCAAAAGAAUUUCCUAAAGGGAUGAUUGGUCUUAUAGAUAACUUUAUCCGAAAUAUAACAAGUUAUCAAAAAGUGCAAUGGCAUAGAGUUGAUCACAGCAUUGGUAAGGAUAGUUUCUCUAACUGAGCUUGUAAGAUUUUUCCAUCCACCCUGGAUUCUAUUAAUCACUUUAUCAACAAGGAUCAUUUGAAGCCUCUUAAGAAGCUUAUUGUGAGAUAUAAAAGUACCAAUGUAUUUCAUGAGCCAGUUUCUUUCUUUUAUAUUGAAAAAAGUUUCAGAUAUUAUUGUAUUGUGCUUAACAAAAGAAUUACAAUGCUUUGAAAAAUAAAUGAGAAACUUGGACUUAUUAAUAUUUAAGUUGAAAAACUUAGAGUAACUUUAAGAGACCUUGAUAAGGUUUCUACGAGACUUUUGACUUCUCCUAAUAGUCAUGAUAACAUUAUUAACAAAUAUAAGAUGAGAUAUCUUAAUUCUCUUAACCUUGAAAGAGAGACUUUUAUUGUCAUUGGUUAAGUCAUCCAAAAUUGAAGAUAAAAAUUAUUAGAUAAUAAUAAACAGGUAGGGGGAUAUAGGAUUCCCUUAUCUAAUCCCCCUAAAAGCAUCAAAAUAUUUAAAAGUAUACCCAUUAAUAUAAUAAUUAAAAAAGAAGAAUAAAUAUAAGCUUUUGUCAAUUGAAUAAAGAUAUUAGGGAAGUUUAUGCGUCUCCUAACAUUGAUAAUAGCAUCCCUGAAAACUCGAUCGUAUGCUUUUUCAAUGUCAAUUUUUUAUAGAAAUGAAAGUAUUCUUAUCAUGAGAUUUAAACAUGAUGUAAACUAACUUAUUAAUAAUAAGAAUAUUAUUAUGAAUAUUAUGUACCAACCUAAGAGAGAUUGACUCUGAUCAAUAAAAGUAUCAAGAAUAGGCACUAACCCAAGAGAGAACUUUGGUCAUAACUCGUAAAUAACAUUACACGGUAAAAAUUAAAAAUCUUUUUAGGACUAUUGAUCUUAGACAUAAAAAAAUAAAAAAAUAUUUGCACUCAACUUUUAGGAAUCCUAGUAGACUUGUGAAAUUCACUAAAUGUGGCUAAAAUGUGUGGAUAGAUUUUUUUAAAAAAAUUAUAAGAAUACAAUUAUAAAGUCAUAUAGACCUUAGCUUUUCUCAAGCCCACAGAGGAAAGGGUUAAAUAGAUUUUGUAGAUGUUGAAAUCCUUAAUAAGUUAAUAUGAUGAAGGAUUAGAAUAUUAAAAAAAAAGGGUAAUCAUUCUACAUUUGGUGGUACCGUUGCACAAAAUCUAGAAGGAUAGCAUUGAUAUUCAAGAUGAUGAGUUGAGAGGAAUUUUGAAUAAUAUGGAUAGUAUUUAUUUUCCUUCUAAUAUUAACAAGAAUUUUGUUUUCUUGUCAACCUCACUCAUCCAUCGAGUUUGAGUCUUUAUUUACCACUUCAAGUGCAAUUGCAUUUGAAGUAUGAUGAGCCUAUUGUUAAGAGCGAUAAGGGUGAUGGUCAUUGUCAAACAGUGAGUUCAAGUUCUAUUUUCCAAGUUAGAAUAUCUCUAAUGGUAUUCUUGAUAUUGAUUUUUAAAAAUUCAAGAUGGGUUUUUUAGUAAUUAAAUUGAGAUUAACUAGGAGGGGGGCAUGAUCUGUUAAGACCUUAGGAUGAUAAUAAAUUAAGAUAUUAGGAAAAUAUGAACACCAAUAAUCGUUAGCAAGAAAUGUGAGAUAAAUUAAAUUACUUAUUAGUCCAAGUAUAACGAUAGCCAAGAAAACUCAAAUUAAUUAAACCUAUAUAAAAUAAAAUAAAAAUAAAAAUCAUUAUCUAACACUAAGGUAUCAUUAACUAUUUAACUUCUCGUGAGCAGAUCAAUCAGUAAACUCAUUCUUCAAUGAGCACAUGCACUAUAUCCCUAGUAUCUUCACAUGAGCAACUAUGAUACCAACCACCUCCAUCGUAUGGAUAGAUAUAUAAUACAUCAGUCUAUUCGAUUAUCUCGAUGUCCCUCUCGAGUAACCUAUGAUCGGAAAUAUUUAUAGUAUGUGUUUACAAGUGAAUUAGUCUCAUUAUUAUAAACUCAUCAUGAUCCAAUUCACAUUGCACAGAUCCAAAGACAUCACAAUAUAUACAACAUGUAACAUAAAGCUAGAAUAUAUCAAUAAUAAUAAUAAGUAAAAAACUAUUCAAAAUGCCAUACAUGUCAUUACUCACUUGAUUGGCCUACAUGACACCUAUAACUUAUAAGUUCUUUACUAGCAUUGUGAGUGAUGUGAGUCUCAAUCCUCCAUUUCCAUCAAGAGGACAAGAUCCCCAAAAGGCACAUCCCCAGCGACAUCCAAAGAGCUCCCUUGGUUAGAUGGAAUGACCCUAAUACGAUAACUUUUGUCUCUAUUGACAAGAAAUCAAAAGGAGCUAAAAGAAGCUUUGAAACCUGGGAUGACUUGCCUUGCCCAGUCAUAUUCAAGUGGCUUGAACUCAAAGCUCUCGUUGCCUCAUUAAGAACUUUCUUCCCUUUCUAUUGUUGUAAGUCCUACCUCGAGCGAUUAAAAGAUCUAUUAUACCCUUGAGAGGUCGAGUUUAUCUUUUGCUAUAUUGUGCCUAUGGCCAAGAUUCUAAACUUAUCAAUUUCUAAUAAAAUAAGGUUAGUACUAUCAUGGUUAACUAAGAUCAUGUUAGACUCUUAGAUACCUCUCGAUAGAGUCAUUUGAGUCUUUAUUGGCUUUGAAAAUGGAACUAGGGCACCCUCCAUGAGGAAGUUGCAUAUGCUUUGCUCAAUUGUGCUUUUGGACUUUGAUUUAAGGCUCAUAGAGGGACUCUCCCCCUUCCUUCGCUAGAAGUUCUAGAGCCCUACCUUAAGUAUUGUUAAAAGGUUUAGGGAUAUUAACAAGUUUAAAGGAUAUAGUGCUCCAAUCUAUGGUCAAUCAUUUUGUAUUCAAAACAUAAAUUUAGGAUAUUGUGGUAAGAUUUAAAGAAAUCUAAAAGAAUAUAAACCCUAACAAAUUUACCUUUAAAUCCUAUUAUUGUGACAUUGUUUAUCUUAAUGAGUUUUCUUACAAUAGAUGAAAUACAAAGAAGAAGGUUGGGAGGGAGAAAUUCAACUAGAUAACUUGGAACAACACCCAAAUGAGUGCAUGGGUAAGUUUUUCACACAUACAUUAAAAUCCAUGAUGUUAGGGAAGUAAGGAGAGGAUUUAGCCACGGAGGAACCAAGGCCCCCUAGUGAUGUCUUCUUCAUUCAAGAAUUAAAAAUAGAAGAACCUGGAUGCUAGAUCAAUAAUGUGAUAAAUUAAAACAAUGCCCCAUUUUUUAGGUAACUCAACUUUCAGGUAAUUAAGCAAAGGGGUCCUACUAAAAAAAGUUAUCUUAGAGAUUGAGAGACCAAGUCUUACAAGUGUUGUUGACUUUCUUCUAGUCCAGCACUAGCUAUAUACUGGAGAAAUACUGACUCCAACUUAGUUUUUCUUCUAGCCAAAUGAAGAACUUCCAUAUAUCAAUGUCAUAUGCUCUUCUGAAUAGCCUAGUCCAAGAGGAAGGUUUUGGAAUCAGCUCAAUAGUAGUUUAUAAAUUUGACGAUGAAGAGCAAUAUCAGCCCAUACAAUGGGAGAUCAAGUUGUUCAUCAUCGGAUGAGUUAGCUAUUAAACGAUUAAGAGAAUCUACGGAAGUUUGAGAGGAGAAAGAACCAUAUUUAAGAGGAGAAAGAAUUAUAUUUGAAAGUUGGAAAUGGAGGAGGAUCAGGGAGAGGAAGAAUGAGGGGAUAGCUCAUCGCCGGAAUUCGAAUGAUGUAAUAUUUCUUAAUAAACUUUUCAUAUUAAAUUAUUUUUAUGUUGUUACUAUUAUUAAGACAUUCGAGUUGAUUAAUACCAAAUUUUACUAGUUUAUAAGUAAGUAAUAGGUUUCAAGUUUGAGUUUACAUGUGAGCAUCAUGUACACCACUUGAUAUAAUAAUUUUUUUUAUAAUUUUAAAAAAUUAAAAAAUUAGUUUCAUUAUAAUGAUAAAAAAUUAAGGAUUUAUUUAAUUUAUUUUUAUACUUAAAAUAUUAUUUUGAUGCUUUUUGUUAGACACAUAUAUCAAAAUCUUAUUCAACAAAUUGUACACCUUAGUAGCCAUUAGCGGUUUAUAUUAUCAGUAUCAUGUCAUUCGAUAUUUUGGAUACGAUAGUAAUGCUCAAAGUUAUGAUAAUAUUUGAAUUGAUCAUGAUAACAACACUGAUUAUCUCGACUAACAGCUAUUGUCAUGUAUUGAAUUGAGAAAAUAUUAGUUCUUCUAAUUAAAAAAAUAAAAAAAUUAUUAAUUUUAUUAUAAUGACCAAAAAAGGGUUUAUUAAUUUAAUUUUAUACUUAAAAUAUUAUUUUGAUGAUGGUUGCCAUACAUAUUUAUCAAAAUAUUAUUUGAUAAAUUUUAUAUCUUAUUACGUUUACGUUGCAGUUGUCAUGUCAUUUAAAUUUUCUAAAAUUAUUAUGAUAGACAUAAUAAUGCCCAAAGUUACGAUAAUGUUUCGAUGGAUCGUGUUAGCAACACUCACUCUCUGGAUCGUCAUCUACGUUAAUGUAUUGAAUUGCAAUACGAAUGGCUUGACCAUAAACCCGAGUAGCUUCAUGAAAUCAUCGUAAUGAUAAAGCUAUAAUGAUGGACAUGAUGGUGAUGCCCGAAGUCAUGUUUGGAUUGAUCAUGAUAUAUUGUUUCGACCAUCAAUCAUUAUUGUGUAUAGAAGGACGAUGCGAGUGGCUGAGGAGCUUUGCUAAAUCAUCAUAGUGAGAUGAGAAAAUAACUUUAUGUUUUUGUGAUUGGUUUUCAAAUAUUAUUCUAAAAUGACCAAAUAUUUCUAACAAAAAUAACUUUCACGUGGCAAUAAACUUUAAUUUUUUAUAUUUAUAUUUAUAUUUAUAUUUUGUUUUUACAAAAAAAUAUAAUUUAGAAAUAAACCUGUUGCGCAAUAGACACCGUUGAUCUUAACAAUACUUGUCGAUCAUCAAAGAUCAUCGAUCAAGCUAUCUGCUGGCCGCAUCUAUCGAUUGCGAGGCGACGACAUGGUUCGCUUUCGGUUUCGGGGUUUCGGUCUUUUCGUCUUGAGCGAGCGUCGGGCGUAAGUGAAAGUGGAAGUGAUCAGCGUGCAACUUUCGCCCCUUCAUUCUGAGGGGGCAAAGGGAGGAACGCCAUGGAAGGCGCCUUCUCCUCGCCACGCUUGAUCUCCGGCGACGCCCGCUUACUCUCCAGAUCGUCUCGGAGCAGCGGCAGGCCGGCACCUAAGAGGGUGACCGUCAGCCGGCCUCCUUCCGCUUCGGCCGGCGUCUCCUCCUCCUCCUCCUCAAGGCCUUCUUCCCUCAGUUGCGGCCUUGUCGCCGCUCCUUUCGUCUGCGGGAGCGUCCAUGGCGACUUUAAUGGGCUGAAGAUUAGGGUUCUGUCGCUAAAGCCGCCCGCUUUAUCCCAUAGCCGCCGACCCACGAGAGGCGUCGUUGCCAUGGUAAAUUUUGAAACGAAAAGAAGAAAAAUUCGUUCCGCUUUUCGGUUCAUUGAUCUUCUAAUUUGUCGAGUUGGAAAAGGUUCAUUCUUUUUCAGUUGCUCUUUGUAUUGUUUGCUUUUAACAGUUCUAAGUUUGAUAGAAGAUAAGAUUUUCCAACUAUACGAUGAAAUUUUUUCUUAUAUAUUAAUAUAUUUAAGUUUUUUCUUCUUCAGGAGAGGGACAUAUUAAUAUAUUUAAGUUUUUUCUUAUUCAAUAAAACUUCUUCAAUAAAAUUUCUUUAAUAAUUAUUUUUAUUUUUUAUUAUUUUCGUCAUGGUAUCAGUAGUGAGAAAAGCAGCGAAGCUUCGCUCUUGCCUUCGGCCAGCGACCAACGUUGCUGAGAAAAGCAAAGCUUCGCCCUUGCCUUCGACCAGCGACCAAUGCCGCUGCAGCCAAAUUCCUAAGAGGAACGAAAGAAACGCCUGUGCCCUCACAGCAAUAGCAAUCGCAGCGGCAGCAGCGAUAUGCUCUUGCUUUACUCACGACUCUCGCUCGUAAACCAUUCUUUGCAUCGAUCCAAGAUUGGUAUCCUUGACAGUAGUACCAUCUUGCGGGGGCAUGAUAGAAGAUAAGAUUUCUCCAACUAUACGAGGAAAUCUCUCUAUUCUGUUAAGAGAAAUCCUUUCUCCUAAUCUGUAUAAAUAGGAGAAAUAGGAGAGGGACAUGCUAAUAUAUUUAAGCUUUGUCACUUAUUCAAUAAAGUUUCUUCAAUAAUUAUUUUUAUUUUCUAUUAUUUUCAUUAAUAUAGAUUAGGAGAAAGGAUUUCCCUCAACAGAAUGGAGGAUUUUUCUCAACAGAAUAGAUAAAUUUCCUCAUAUAGUGGGGGAAAUCUUAUCUUAUAUCAUGCCCCCGUAAGAUAUUGCUUCUGUCAAGAUACCAAUCUUGGAUCGAUGCAAAGAAUAAUUCACGAGCGAGAGUCGUGAGUAGAGCAAGAGCAGAUUGUUGCUGCUACUACGAUUGUUGUUGUUGUGAGGGCACAGGCGUUCCUUUCGUUCUCCUUAAGUCCACCUUUCGUUCUCCUUAAGUUCGUCGACUGUUGACAGAUCAACGAAGACUAUCGUGGUGAGGAAGGUGAGGAUUGGCCAUGGAGCCUCUUAGGAAUUUGGCUGCAGCGGCGUUGGUCGCUGGCCGAAGGCAAGGGCGAAGCUUUGCUUUUCUCAGCGGCGUUGGUCGCUGGCCGAAGGCAAGAGCGAAGCUUCGCUUUUCUCAGCGGCGUUGGUUGCUGGCCGAAGGCAAGAGCGAAGCUUCGCUUUUCUCACUGCUCUGAUACCAUGAUGAAAAUAAUAGAAGAUAAGAACAAUUAUUGAAUAAGCGAGCUUUAUUGAAGAAAUGAAAAAACUUAAAUACAUUAACAUGUCCCUCUCCUAUUUAUACAGAUUAGGAGGAAGGAUUUCUCAACAGAAUGGAGGAUUUUUCUCAACAGAAUAAAGAGAUUUCCUCAUAUCGUUUGGGAAAUCUUAUCUUCUAUCAAAGUGAAGGCGCGGUCUUUCAACCCAUCAGUAUAGCUUAUGAAUAUAUAUUUUUCUUUAAGACACACUACAUAAUGGGGAUAUGAAUUACUCGAAACUUUUUUUUCUUUAAGAUUGCUGCGCUGAGAGAGAAAUUUUAGGCUGUUCAAUGAAAAUUUUAAAUCCUAUAUUUUAUAGGAGAAUUUUCUUUGUACUGCAUGGUAGAAAAUGAAGGCCCCCGUACUUCCGUCCUUUUCUCCUACUUGCUACUUCAUAAAAUAUAGUUAUAAUAUUAGUUUUUGGUUAUGUUGUCAGCAAGCCAAAAUGGAAAGGAUAACAUUCUGACUUGGUACGAUUGCAAUGCAUUGAAUUUGAAACCAGGGGAACAAUCAUUGGCCACUUAAAUGAAGCAUGACACUUGUAUUUUAUGAUUUUACAUGUCUCUAUUUAAGUCUAUCCAGUUCCAUGUUUUCCAUUCUUACAUCUAGCAGACUUGAAAGCAUGUACACAUACAAAUAUAGAAAUUUAAAUUAGAGUACUAAAAUUCAUUCAGGGUCUAAACUCUUUAUUAGUUUCUGCUUUGGAAGGAUCGUUUGGUCAUUGCCAAGUAGAUCUCACUGCAUUUCAGCUAUCAACACCUACUUGAUACAAAUUUUUGGGCACUCCACUAUUCUUUCCCAUAAUAAUGGAAGUUGCAAACUUUCCUUUCAGCCUUUCUGACAACUUCAACGUAUAUCAGUUAAGUAUAUCCUUUUGUAAAAGCUUGAGAAAAGGUUCAAUCAUAUUCUUUAAGGGAGACUUCUCAUACCCUGUUUGCUAAUAUGCAUAUCAUCUUAUUCAUUUCUUAGCUUCUGUGUGCUCAAAAUCUCAUUCUUGGCAUUGUUCGUGCACUUGUGGCUUCUAGACAUUCAUUUCAAAGAUUUCAAAGUUGUUAUAUGUGACAGCAUAUAUUACGUUUAGAUGCUUUUGGUUGAUCGAGUAUUUUGGACAUACAAGAGGUGGGUUUUAUUGUCUUCUUGCAGAGUUUAUUUAUGUUUAUGGGGUAUUUAUCUGACAGAUAACAUGAAUUAACACCUCUCAAGUAAUACGCUAUAAGUGCUAAUUUAGCUGAACUUUGAUCAUCGUCACUUUCAAUUGUUUUUCUUUUGGUCCAUUGUUUAUAGCCACUUGAUCAAUGCCAUGGUAUGCGCUUUGUGCUCUACAUUGGUGUAAGCAUACAUAUUUAGAAAUUAUUUGGCUACUCUUAAAGCCCUUUUAGUAUUGGAAUUUGUCACCUAAACUUUCUGGUUGUAAAAGGCUAGGGCUUAUGAUUUGUCACGUAGUGAUUAAGCAUAGUGGACUUAUGCUAGGGCUUGAUAAUGUAUGGUCCAACUAGGAUGGCUGCGGGGUUGGAUAAAAUUCUUAUUUUUAUAAAACUAGAGUGUUAUUAAGAUGGUGAACCUUGACACCAAGCAUGCAAAACUGCCUUGAUUGGUACAUAUUGGCUGGUAUUUACUGGUCCGGGUAUGAACUGAUUCAUUAUUUAUAUUUUUAAACAUGGAACACUAUUAGGGUUAGUGCAUGCAUGCUAGUUGUGAACUCUCCUGAUCUGCACUGCAGGAAUGCUUGUCUCUCAUUGCCUUCUCCUCCAUCUCCUCAUUUCCACCACCUCUUCCUCCUCCUCUCCUUCUCCCCUUCCUCCUCCUCCUCUCCUUCUCCCCUUCCUCUUUGUUUCCUUCUCCUUCUCCUCUUAUAUACGGCACCACUGACCAGAUCUGUGUUGGUCCAGCCAUGGAUUGGCACAGGUCCAGUACCCAAAUUGAGUUCCUUGCUUGACACCAUGAUAAGGUUGUGCUUUUUGUGUUCUGAACAACCACAUAUCAGGUCACAAAAACUGCCUUUUGGCUUUUGUACAAAAGGAUGCACACAUUCAACUUUUUGACACCUCGUCUUGGCCAGAGCCUCAUACAUCGGAUCACCCUUUUACAAUCAAUGUCUUAUUUUUUAUAGUUAUACAGAUGAUAGAUUGUUGUUGCAUUUUCACAUCUUUUCAGUUCUAUAAUUUUCAGAUUUAGUAUUAGUUUAUUUUUUGCCAUUUGAUGACAAAUAUCUGCCAAAAAAGAGCAUUUCUGAGGUAUUAUUUUAAAUUUUGAAUAUAUAUAUAUAUAUAUAUUUUUAACUUCUUUACAG